GGUUUGAUUAUGGCUCAGAUUGAACGCUGGCGGGAUGCUUACACAUGCAAGUCGAACGGCAGCACGGACUUCGGUCUGGUGGCGAGUGGCGAACGGGUGAGUAAUGUAUCGGAACGUGCCUAGUAGCGGGGGAUAACUACGCGAAAGCGUAGCUAAUACCGCAUACGGCCCUUCGGGGAAAGCGGGGACCUUCGGGCCUCGCACUAUUAGAGCGGCCGAUAUCGGAUUAGCUAGUUGGUGGGGUAACGGCUCACCAAGGCGACGAUCCGUAGCUGGUUUGAGAGGACGACCAGCCACACUGGGACUGAGACACGGCCCAGACUCCUACGGAGGCAGCAGUGGGGAAUUUUGGACAAUGGGGGAAACCCCUGAUCCAGCCAUCCGGGCGUGCGAUGAAGGCCUUCGGGUUGUAAAGCAUUCUUAGCAGGAAGAAACGGCACGGGAUAAUACCCCGUGCAACUGACGGUACCUGCAGAAUAAGCACCGGCUAACUACGUGCCAGCAGCCGCGGUAAUACGUAGGGGUGCAAGCGUUAAUCGGAAUUACUGGGCGUAAAGCGUGCGCAGGCGGUUCGGAAAGAAAGAUGAAAUCCCAGAGCUUAACUUUGGAACUGCAUUUUUAACUACCGAGCUAGAGUGUGUCAGAGGGAGGUGGAAUUCGCGUGUAGCAGUGAAAUGCGUAGAUAUGCGGAGGAACACCGAUGGCGAAGGCAGCCUCCUGGGAUAACACUGACGCUCAUGCACGAAAGUGGGGAGCAACAGGAUUAGAUACUCCUGGUAUCCACGCCCUAAACGAUGUCAACUAGCUGCUGGGGCCUUCGGGCCUUGGUAGCGCAGCUAACGCAGGAAGUUGACCGCCUGGGGAGUACGGUCGCAAGAUUAAAACUCAAAGGAAUUGACGGGACCCGCACAAGCGGUGGAUGAUGUGGAUUAAUUCGAUGCAACGCGAAAAACCUUACCUACCCUUGACAUGUCUGGAAUCCCGAAGAGAUUUGGGAGUGCUCGCAAGAGAACCGGAACACAGGUGCUGCAUGGCUGUCGUCAGCUCGUGUCGUGAGAUGUUGGGUUAUCCCUGCAACGAGCGCAACCCUUGUCAUUAGUUGCUACGAAAGGGCACUCUAAUGAGACUGCCGGUGACAAACCGGAGGAAGGUGGGGAUGACGUCAAGUCCUCAUGGCCCUUAUGGGUAGUCACACGUCAUACAAUGGUCGGGACAGAGGGUCGCCAACCCGCGAGGGGGGAGCCAAUCCCAGAAACCCGAUCGUAGUCCGAUCGCAGUCUGCAACUCGAUCGCGUGAAGUCGGAAUCGCUAGUAAUCGCGGAUCAGCAUGUCGCGGUGAAUACGUUCCCGGUCUUGUACACACCGCCCGUCACACCAUGGGAGUGGGUUUUACCAGAAGUAGUUAGCCUAACCGUAAGGAGGGCGAUUACCACGGUAGGAUUCAUGACUGGGGUGAAGUCGUAAACAAGGUAG
rnacentral:rRNA from 1 species